GAUGAAGAACGUAGCGAAUUGCGAUAAGUAAUGUGAAUUGCAGAUUUUCAGUGAAUCAUCGAAUCUUUGAACGCACAUUGCGCCCCCUGGUAUUCCGGGGGGCAUGCCUGUUCGAGCGUCAUUUCACCACUCAAGCCUCGCUUGGUAUUGGGCAACGCGGUCCGCCGCGUGCCUCAAAUCGACCGGCUGGGUCUUCUGUCCCCUAAGCGUUGUGGAAACUAUUCGCUAAAGGGUGUUCGGGAGGCUACGCCGUAAAACAACCCCAUUUCUAAGGUUGACCUCGGAUCAGGUAGGGAUACCCGCUGAACUUAAGCAUAUCAAUAAGCGGAGGA
rnacentral:misc_RNA from 1 species